UGCCCGGUACCGGGGGAUAACUACACGAAAGCGAAACUAAUACUGAUUACGCCCUAGGGGGGAAGGGGAGGGAGGGGGAUACCUUGAACUAUUGGAGCGGCCGAGACCGAAUUAGCUUGUUGGGGGGGUAGGGGUUCACCCUGGCAACGGUCCGUAUCUGGUUUGAGAGGACGACCACCCCCACUGGGACUGAGACUCGGCCCCGACUCCUACGGGAGGGGGAGGGGGGGAUUUUUGAACAUGGGGGGAACCCCUGACCCCCCUCUCCCCCGUGUGCGAUGAAGGCCUUCGGGUUGUAAAGCA
rnacentral:rRNA from 1 species